rnacentral:rRNA from 1 species
UACAGAGGUCCCAAGCGUUGUUCGGAUUCAUUGGGCGUAAAGGGUGCGUAGGCUGCGCGGUAAGUCGGGUGUGAAAUCUCGGGGCUUAACUCCGAAACUGCAUUCGAUACUGCCGUGCUUGAGGACUGGAGAGGAGACUGGAAUUUACGGUGUAGCGGUGAAAUGCGUAGAUAUCGUAAGGAAGACCAGUGGCGAAGGCGGGUCUCUGGACAGUUCCUGACGCUGAGGCACGAAGGUCCAGGGGAGCAAACGGGAUUAGAACGUACCGAGUCAGUCCAAGACCAGUCUCGUCGACCU